GGGCCCUGUUUCUUAGCAACACAGAUGGGCAGACCAUAUAUUCCAGCGCUUUUGUGCAAUGGAAGAAUAAACAUCUCCCUGAAUAAGGGGGUGCUGCAAGUUGAUCUCUUUGCUUAUCUUCUUCUAGAACAGAGGAAGGAGAGGCAUUCUGUGAUACAUCACGUGAAGUUUGUCAGGAAGUCCCUGUUUUUGCAAGUCGAUUUUGCAGGGCAUACAAGAAGCUCUUUCAGCCUAAGAUUACAGAUACAGUGCAAGAAGAAAUGUCCGGCAGAGAGACAGAACUGAUAUAAGGUUACUUUGCAGAACUGAGACAAAGAGGGAAUCAAGAGGCAACAGUUCUUCAUCUAAUCACAGUAUGCAACAGAUUUACCACAUCUUGUGUCAAGUUACUCCAGAGAUCCUUUAAAUCUGAAGUUAAAAUCACAUCUUUUCAACAUAGAUCUGGGACUUGAAUUGCUGAAAUGAAAGCAAAAGAGCCUUGUGAACAUGAAUGGGAUCCUUCCUAGGUUGCUGCUACCAAAGAAUCCCUCUCUGCCUAAAUCUGCUUCAUUUAUGAAAUCCCAGACUAAACAGCAGGGUGCUGAUGAGAAGGCAAUGUGGUAGAGACUCCACAGUCUUAUCCGUGUUAACAUAACAGCCUUCUGGUUCUAUGGAAUCUGUACAUCUGCAAAUGCUAUGGAGGAUGCUUGCGGUCCUGAGCUGUGUCUGUAUUACCCUGUUAGGACAGAUGGGAGAAAGGAGGCACAGAGCAGUUCAAUGAAUUGUCCCAAAAGCAAGCAGGAAGAGUGUGGUUCAGUCAAAUUCUCGCAGGGGUGAAAAUGCACUGUAAAUCUCGCUGACAGCUUUGUCAGUCAUUUGGGCACACAGUCAGCUGCAGCGUGGACACCUCUUAGCCCAGUAUGUGAGAAAGGACCAGUAUCCAUUUACUAAAAUGGUCUCUGAUCUAAAAUCUAUUCUUGUUGAUUAGUAUUUUUCCAUUGACAUCGAUGCACUUUGGAACUUGCUUGUGGAGGCAGAUCAAGUCAAGAAAGUUCAGGAACAGAGUUUGGAAACAGAGGACAGGAAAGUGCCAGACUUCAGAGCAUUGCACCAGGAUGGUGGGAUGGGAUUUUUGCUAGCAAGAUAAACCGGAUACCCAGGGAAAAGAGGUGAAUAGCCUGGAGAAAAGUAUCUCAUUUGGGACACACAGUGCUUUACCUAGCAAGUUCAGCCUCACCCGGUCCCAGGCCCUGGCAGAAUGAGGAUUGUAACACUUGGCUGUGAGCGGGUGAAGAUUGAUCUACCUCCUGUCAAUAUCAGAUGAAAGCAGUGAGUUGCUACAUACAAUUUUCAUGCUGUAAUGGCCUGCCAGGAUGACAUACCGACCACUUAUAAAGGAGACAGACAGGUGAGAAACGGGUUUAACCCUUCUGGAUUGUUGUUGCAUCGUGCAGAGAAACGCCACCGUGAUGCUCU